rnacentral:rRNA from 1 species
CGUAGGGUGCAAGCGUUGUCCGGAAUUAUUGGGCGUAAAGAGUUCGUAGGCGGUUUGUCGCGUCCGUUGUGAAAGCUUGGGGCUCAACCCCAAGUCUGCAGUGGAUACGGGCAGGCUAGAGUCAGGUAGGGGAGAACGGAAUUCCUGGUGUAGCGGUGAAAUGCGCAGAUAUCAGGAGGAACACCGGUGGCGAAGGCGGUUCUCUGGGCCUGUACUGACGCUGAGGAACGAAAGCGUGGGGAGCGAACAGGAUUAGAUACCCUGGUAGUCCACGCCGUAAACGGUGGGCGCUAGAUGUGGGGACCUUCCACGGUUUCUGCGUCGCAGCUAACGCAUUAAGCGCCCCGCCUGGGGAGUACGGUCGCAAGACUA